UCUCCCGCAUCGUCACCGACUGCUUCUCCUACUAAGUCGCCAACGGCUUCUCCUCCGGUGGCCACUCCCCCGUCUCCAACACCUUCUCCAUCCACCACUCCUUCUGCCCCUGCUCCCGCCCCAUCCACCGUAUCACCACCAGCCUCUACUCCAUCUCCUACAUCGGGUUCUCCUCCCGCACCUCCAACGAGUCCUGCUUCGCCACCCACCACUGGUGCCUCACCGUCUCCUUCCAUCAGCACUCCUCCCACAGAGCCUCCGUCUCCUAGCGCCGCCGCUUUGAACACGGUCACUUUUACCGGAUCUGCAGCCGCGGUCUUCCUUGGUGCUUUCUUGCUGCUCAAGAUCUGAUCUGCUCUUUUCUCCUUUGCC
rnacentral:lncRNA from 1 species